UACGGAGGGUGCGAGCGUUGUCCGGAAUCACUGGGCGUAAAGGGCGCGUAGGCGGCGCGGGAAGUCCGUGGUGAAAGCCCGAGGCUCAACUUCGGGUCGGCCAUGGAUACUCCUGGGCUUGAGCACUGUAGAGGCAGGUGGAAUUCCGGGUGUAGCGGUGGAAUGCGUAGAGAUCCGGAAGAACACCGGUGGCGAAGGCGGCCUGCUGGGCCAUUCCUGACGCUGAGACGCGAAAGCUAGGGGAGCGAACAGG
rnacentral:rRNA from 1 species